CCUUGAGUAUGGGAGAGGUGAGUGGAAUUCCUGGUGUAGCGSUGAAAUGCGUAGAUAUGCAGGAGGAACACCUGUGGCGAAAGCGSCUCACUGGRCCNNNACUGACGCUGAUGCACGAAAGCUAGGGGAGCAAACAGGAUUAGAUACCCUGGUAGU
rnacentral:rRNA from 1 species